rnacentral:rRNA from 1 species
UACGGAGGGUGCAAGCGUUAAUCGGAAUCACUGGGCGUAAAGCGCUCGUAGGCGGUUUGGUCAGUCAGAUGUGAAAGCCCACGGCUUAACCGUGGAACUGCAUUUGAUACUGCCAGACUUGAGUGUCGGAGAGGGUGGCGGAAUUCCGGGUGUAGGAGUGAAAUCCGUAGAUAUCUGGAGGAACACCAGUGGCGAAGGCGGCCACCUGGACGACAACUGACGCUGAGGAGCGAAAGCGUGGGGAGCAAACAGG